AUCCCGCUGGGUUUGUGCCCUUUCCGCCCGGGUGCUCCUAGGUCCCGGGCCCCUCUCUGGACUCAGAACUGAGAAGACAAGGAGUCCUGGCUCAGUCCCACCCCUGCCCCCCCUCGGAGGGCAAGCCUGGCACAGCGCCUGGCCUCUGUGAAUGACAGCCGCUGUUGUUAAUGGGGGUUUUAUAGUUAUUUCUUCACAACCCUCAUCACCCAAGAUCAGGGUUCCCCUGGACUCAGGCUUGCUGAACCUCCGGGUCACAUCCUCUCAGCCCCCCGCUAUAGGCUGACUCCCAAGCUUCCCUGUCAGGGGAGCGUCUGGACCCCGGACCCGGGGAGAGCCCCCACUGCACUGCGGCGUGUGGGAGGGGUUGAGGGGGGUUGGGCUAACUCCCCAGGCUGGGUGAGAGGGUGAACAGAGCGAGGCCAGCUGGGGACGCAGGCAGCGGAGGUCAGCAGGGAAGAUGCAGGCCCAACCAGCUCUGAGACCCAGGCCCGAUCUCUGCCUAAUGGAGCUGCAGGCGACACGGAACGGGUCCCCCAUUCGCUGGCAGAUGCCCCAAUCCAUCUCCAUUAUGCCUGGCGCUAAGGAGCACUGCAAAUGAAGCGUGAUGAUGCCACCGCCAGCAUCACUCCUGCUGGCUCUGACCCGCCUGCCACCUCCACCUAACAUGCACACCAGGCUGCGACUGAUGUCCACAGGCCCAGCUGCCACCUCGUACAGAUGCAGGGAUGGAGCCUUUGCUCCUGGCCCCACUGGCUGUGUGACUGUGGGCCCCUUACUGAAACUCUCUGUGCCUCAGUCUCAUCAUCCAAAUUAUGUCUGACUCCACCCUCUCCCUCGUCUCUCAUUUCCCAUCCACCUCGACACCUCUCCAGGCCACACACCUGUGUGUCUGCUGCCGCCCCUCCGUCCAAGCUUGUCUGGAUGGCAGCACCCACCUCCCAGGGUCUCUAGUGUGCCCCAAGGUCCUCCCCUCCCUCUGCUCGGCUCGGGUGCUGUCUUUUAUGGACUCACCGAGGCCUCUUUCUUAAUACCCUUUCAGCCGCUUCCACAGUUCCCAGGCUAAAGCCAGACGUCCUCCUGAAGGUCAAGGCCCCUCAGGGGCCUGGCCCGGCCGCCUGUUCCAGGCUCCCUCCCGCCCUCCUCCCGGGCAGCCUCACCUCUCCCAGGAUGACUCCUUGGUGAGUGUCCAGCCCCCGUGGACCGUCAGGGGGCCGCAGUGGCCAGCACCGUGAGUCCUCCCCCGCAGCUCCCGCCCCGGCACACAGUAGGCAGAGCGAUCCCGCAGCUUAAAGGAAUGCCCCCAUCGAGUGCAGACAGCAAUUUCAUCCUACGGGCCGUGGUGACUGUCAACAGUGCCUCAUACGCUGUAAAUGAAGAACUCUUCACUCCUCGCCUGGGACUGAGCACUGGGUUGGCUGCCGCAAACUCAACACCAACCCCCGACCUUACAGGGUGUCAAGAUAAAGAUCGUCAGGCCAGGCGCAAUGGCUCACGCCUGUAAUCCCAACACUUUAGGAGGCCGAGGCGGGCGGAUCACGAGGUCAGGAGUUCGAGACCAGCCUGGCCAACAUAGCGAAACCCCGUCUCUACUAAAAAUACAAAAAUUAGCUGGGAAAGGGGGCACACGCCUGUAGUCCCAGCUACUCGGGAGGCUGAGAGGCAGGAGAAUCACUU
rnacentral:lncRNA from 10 species